AGGCAGCAGUGGGGAAUUUUGGACAAUGGGCGAAAGCCUGAUCCAGCCAUGCCGCGUGAGUGAAGAAGGCCUUCGGGUUGUAAAGCUCUUUUAGUCGGAAAGAAAGAGUUGCAAUGAAUAAUUGUGAUUUAUAACGGUACCGACAGAAAAAGCACCGGCUAACUAC
rnacentral:rRNA from 1 species